CACGUGCUCCGGGGUCGGUGAAAUUCCGAGCCGGCGGUGAAAGUCCGCGACCCGCCCGCCAGCGAUGGCGGCGGCUGAUCCGGUGGAAUUCCGGGACCGACGGUCAUAGUCCGGAUGGGAGGCGCGCGUG
rnacentral:ncRNA from 2 species